rnacentral:ncRNA from 1 species
CGAGGCUUGGAAUCAUGAUGCUGUGGGCCUCGCCAGCGUCAAGCGGGUGAUCACGGGGAUCUCCACACACCCGCCGGUACAGCCGUUAUCUGCUUAAAGUAGGCCGCCAGAGGAAGCUCGCAUCGCUUCUGGUGCUCCGAAUUUCAUGUAGCAGUCGCGCCGCAUGCCGUGGAGGGGUGAGCUGUGUUGGCAGCUCAGAAGAUGCGGGACGCCG